rnacentral:rRNA from 1 species
ACAUGCAGUCGAACGAGGUCCUCGGACCUAGUGGCGCACGGGUGAGUAACAUGUGGGAAUCUACCUGAAGGUCCGGAAUAACUGCGGGAAACUGUAGCUAAUACCGGAUGUGUCUGCAAAGAGAAAGAUUUAUCGCCUUCAGAUGAGCCCGCACUAGAUUAGCUAGUUGGUGAGGUAAUUGCUCCACCAAGGCUACGAUCUAUAGCUGAUUUGAGAGGAUGAUCAGCCACACUGGGACUGAGACACGGCCCAGACUCCUACGGGAGGCAGCAGUAGGGAAUAUUGGACAAUGGGGGAAACCCUGAUCCAGCAAUGCCGCGUGAGUGAAGAAGGCCUUCGGGUUGUAAAGCUCUUUCAUCAAUGAUGAUAAUGACAUUAGUUGAAGAAGAAGCCCCGGCUAACUUCGUGCCAGCAGCCGCGGUAAUACGAAGGGGGCUAGCGUUGUUCGGAAUCACUGGGCGUAAAGCGUAUGUAGGCGGAUCAAAAAGUUAGAUGUGAAAUCCCUGGGCUCAACCCAGGAACUGCAUUUAAAACUAGUGAUCUAGAAUUUGGUAGGGGUUAGUAGAAUUUCCAGUGUAGAGGUGAAAUUCGUAGAUAUUGGAAAGAAUACCAGUGGCGAAGGCGACUAACUGGGCCAUUUUUGACGCUGAGAUACGAAAGCGUGGGUAGCAAACAGGAUUAGAUACCCUGGUAGUCCACGCAGUAAACGAUGAGUGCUAGUCGCUGGGACAAU